CUUCCCAGACCUCACUGAAGGUUGGCAGUGGAGGUGAGGGUAUCUUGCUCGAGAUUCCUGCCUAUCUCAGGCUUUCUAAAGGUGUUAGAUGAGAUGAUCUAAUUGUCUCUUCUGGCCCUAUGACAAAGUGAAGCCUCUACUUGACUGUAUUCCUGGACUUCUCUCAAACUCUUUUCACCAGGCCUUUGGGGAAGGAGGUUUCUAGUGGAGAAGAAUUUUAUAGAGCAGAGAAGGGUUUGCUAGCAGAAUUAUUUGCUGUUAACAGUUGAUAUUUUUGGGAGAAGAGAAUGUUUGCCAAGGUUUUGAAAUGUCUUUUAAAUUUUCACUAUAGGUGCCUAUGGCAAUACUUAGGCAUGUCUUUGUAUAUUUUGUAGAGGAACAUGAGUCCACAUAUUUCAUGGCAGAGCUAAAUUUCAACACAUAUUUGUAUGUCUCAGGAAAAAAAAAAAAGUGGGAUAUGACUAUCAUCUGUCUCAUGUCACCUUUCCUGGAAGCAAUGCUUUCCAGUUUUGCUAAAUUCAUCCAUCUCUUAAGCAAACUGUCAGAGAUUUAGAGGAUCAGAACUGUGCUUUUGUUAGCUCUGGUUCACUUAAGAGGUCUGCGGACUCACUUUUGGAAAUCAUAGCCCUUAUUUAAAAGGAGGCCUAGAAACAUUUAUAAAAGUAGCACAAUGAGAUGGAGUGAUUUGUAACCAUGGAUAAAUCAUCAAAUACACAACCUGCAAGACAACCAAGGUAUUAUACAGUCCAUUGUACAGGUUACGCACAAUUGCCAGCUGGCUCUGUCUCGCAAAGCAAUUUGGAAAACUUAAGAUGGUUUGUGGGAAGGAACACUGACAAAACCUUUGUAAGCCUUUUGAACAGUUUAGCCAUUUAUAAUUUAGAAAUGAUUACAGCUUUUCGGAAAAUACUUUGCUUAUGACCUACUGCAUUCAAUAUGAUCCUUAGUUCAGUGAGCCAUGCUGUGUAGCACAAUCUGUCACUGAACCAUAUGAAUAAUACCCAAGUGAACCUUUUGUCCCUGGCCACAACAGAGACAACUGGCUCUCCUGCUUCUAGGUGCUGUUGGGGUGAAUUGUCCGAAGAGACAGAUGUCACUAACGAAUGAUAUACAGUGGGCAGUGGGGCUUGUGGGGCUUACAAUGGCUGCAACAUCCAAAGGCCAUAUGUAGCAAUCUCAUUAGUUUCGUGAUUGCUGCCUGCACAGGCUGUUGGAAAUGUGUAAAAGUGCAAGUUCAAAAAGGAAAGUAAUGUAUCAUAUUUGAAUUUUCUCCUUCAGUCAUGCAAAACAGAGAUCCUGCUGAGUUUGGAAACAAGAAGUUGUAAAGAUGAGUGUAUACCUUAAUUGUGUGUCUUUUAAAUGGCUUAGCUUUACACUGUAUUGCGCUACUGCCACAGCCCGAAAUGAUAUUGAAAAUGUGCAAUGUCCUUUGGGCAUUUUCAUCUGAAAAUAUUUAUCCACUUUUUGUUUCAUUGCCCAGCAGAUGUUUAUCCUGUGCUAGGAAUGCAGGAACAACAUCUGUAGAAUUUCUGGGAAGUUCAGCUUUGGAUAAAUCUGUGAAGAAAAACACAUGAUGUGGGUAAUGUCUCUAUUUUACUCCUUUUAGUUUUCUUCUCCUUCCUCAGUUUAGGAUGAGUGUUAUAGGCAUGCAUAUGUACAGUAUCUCAGUCUGAUGGAGUCGUUUACCUCCGGUCUACUUUGACAACUUUGGAAAAACCUUUUGAUUUUUGGAACUGAGCAGCACUUCUAAUUGAUGAAAACAGGAAGACAAUAAAAAGUUCUGUUUC
ensembl:lncRNA